AGCAUUGGUCGGCGUGCUCAGACAUGCAAGUCGAACGCGAAAGUUUCCUUCGGGAGAUGAGUAGAGUGGCGCACGGGUGAGUAACACGUAGGUAAUCUACCUUUGGAUGGGGAAUAACAAUCGGAAACGAUUGCUAAUACCGCAUAAUGCAGCGGCACCUAAUGGUGACAGUUGUUAAAGCGGGGGAUCGAAAGACCUCGCGUCUGAAGAGGAGCCUGCGGCGGAUUAGCUAGUUGGUAAGGUAAUGGCUUACCAAGGCUACGAUCCGUAACCGGCCUGAGAGGGCGGUCGGUCACACUGACACUGACAUACGGGUCAGACUCCUACGGGAGGCAGCAGUCGGGAAUUUUGGGCGAUGGGCGAAAGCCUGACCCAGCAACGCCGCGUGAAGGAUGAAAUCCCUCGGGAUGUAAACUUCGCAAGGACGGGAAGAAUAAGUAGGGGUCAAUACCCUCUAUGAUGACGGUACCGUUUGUAAGCUCCGGCUAACUCCGUGCCAGCAGCCGCGGUAAUACGGGGGGAGCAAGCGUUGUUCGGAUUUACUGGGCGUAAAGGGCGCGUAGGCGGCCAGCACAAGUCAGUUGUGAAAUCUCCGAGCUUAACUCGGAAAGGUCAACUGAUACUGUGCGGCUAGAGUGCAGAAGGGGCAACUGGAAUUCUUGGUGUAGCGGUGAAAUGCGUAGAUAUCAAGAGGAACACCUGCGGCGAAGGCGGGUUGCUGGGCUGACACUGACGCUGAAGCGCGAAAGCUAGGGGAGCGAACGGGAUUAGAUACCCCGGUAGUCCUAGCCUUAAACGAUGAAUGCUUGGUGUCUGGGGUUAUAAAGUCCCUGGGUGCCGUCGCUAACGCUUUAAGCAUUCCGCCUGGGGAGUACGGUCGCAAGACUGAAACUCAAAGGAAUUGACGGGGACCCGCACAAGCGGUGGAGCAUGUGGUUUAAUUCGACGCAACGCGAGAAUCUUACCUGGGCUAGAAUGCCUCUGACACCCUAGAGAUAGGGCCUUCUGGGUAAA
rnacentral:rRNA from 1 species